AUGCAUCAAGUUGUCGUUUGGUGUGGAGUACUAAAAAAAGGAACAAAAACCAAACCAACAAGACCACCCCCCAAACACGAAAGGAAGCAUAUAUACUACAAACUACCUUAAAAAAAUAGGAUGCUUCUCUUCCUAGUUUUAAGAUAGACUGUAAAAGAUACAACACUGAAUUUUUCUUCACUAAAGUCAGUCUUAUUUAUACUGAUAAAAGAGUCAGAAGCAAAAGGCUACAGACACAAAGAAUCCAACGCCAAACUAAAAGAUUUUAUUAUAUACACGUGUACAUGCUCAGAUGCACACAGUCAUAUGAACGUAUUAUUGUAGAGACGAUGUGGCAAAAAACUUCAACCCCAUGAAGCCUCAGAAAUACAUGCUAGCAAGAGUCCAGUCAAACCAACAAGGACUUGAAUGGCAAGAUAGCAAAAGGCAGAAAUAAUAAACUAAAUUAGGCUAGCCUAGGGAGAGCAAUCUCUAAGGAAUGAAAGUAUGUUUGGAAUGACCCAUAAGUCAUAAACAAACUACAUUUUAUUUACUAGCUUUCACUGAAGUCCAAUGUACUGCUCCUACAGUGAUGUAAAAAGUAUUUAUCUGUCUCUACAAGGGAUGAAGAACCCCUCUGCCUUUAUUCCCUGAAGGACUGGGUCCAAAAAUUUUGCAUGUAAAACUUAUUAAAUGGCAUAAUGUACCUGUAAGGUCGUAGGGGAAGAAAACCCAGUUCUCUAAUACACUGACAACUACUUAACCACUGUCCACUGUUUUAAAUAAACUUUUAUUACAUCUAGUAUAACUCUAAUAAAGUGAAAGUGAAUUUUGUUAA